rnacentral:lncRNA from 1 species
UUUGAAUUAAAAGAGUGAAGAAUAUCCUUGAUAGAUGACAGCAGAAUGACCAACAACAUGGAGGUGGUGACGAUGGAAAGAGCGGAUCUCCUGGGGAAUCCUAGGGCACAUAACUGAGGAGGAAUUGUGUUUGCAGGCACACGCUGAGAGAAGGAGGCCUUUAAAUUGAAUGCACCAAGAAGGAAGCUUUCCAAAGCCCGAAUUAAUUAUCUUCAGCAGCAUCUAGACAAUUGCUGUUUUGUGAGGAGUUUGCCAGUCAGACCCUUCGGCACAUCCAUUAGGGACCUUCAAAGCACGCCAAGUACUCAGCCUCUCAGCUGCAGAAAUCCCUUCACCCCUAAACUAAGCACAGCUAUUAGAGAAAGGCUUUGCGGAUUCAGGUGGGAGGCCUCAGCCAACCCGCUGGCUUCUGCAGCAUCGCCUAACAGCUGAAGCAUUGCCUACAGAAGCCCAGCACAAACAUUGAGCAUUCCAAGGGUGGAAUACUAGAAUAUGCAGCAACUAAUAAAUGUUCAUGGUUUCUUGUCCUAAAAGGAUCCAGGUGGGACUCCUGCCACAGCAUGGCUUACCAAGUGGUGCCAUGUCCACACCCGGGAUCCAAACUGGGAACCCCAGGCCACCGAAGCGGAACCUGCAGACUUAACCGCUGCGCCACCAGGCCGGCCCUGGUUAUCUUUCUAAGAUCUCGAAUUCACUCACUCUUUCAUAACCUCCUUCGAACUUUUCUUAUCAGUGGUAGUUUUCUGGGUUUAUCACUAAUUUCUCAUUUGCAAAAUGAGAGGCUAGACCUAGACUGAUUUCUAAGCAACCUUUCUGCUUUCACAUUCAUCUUUAUACUAAUUCCCCUUUGACUUAAAAAUGUAGGAAUCCGCUGGCAAACAUUUAAAGAGCAUAUUAUACCAAGAGAGUGAACUUUUUUUAGCACUCACUAUGACCAAGGCACAGUGCUAACUGCCUCCUACACAGUAUG